rnacentral:rRNA from 1 species
AACGAACGCUGGCGGCAUGCCUAACACAUGCAAGUCGAACGAGACCUUCGGGUCUAGUGGCGCACGGGUGCGUAACGCGUGGGAACCUGCCCUUAGGUUCGGAAUAACUCCCCGAAAGGGGUGCUAAUACCGGAUAAUGUCUUCGGACCAAAGAUUUAUCGCCCUUGGAUGGGCCCGCGUUGGAUUAGCUAGUUGGUAGGGUAAAAGCCUACCAAGGCGACGAUCCAUAGCUGGUCUGAGAGGAUGAUCAGCCACACUGGGACUGAGACACGGCCCAGACUCCUACGGGAGGCAGCAGUGGGGAAUAUUGGACACUGGGCGAAAGCCUGAUCCAGCAAUGCCGCGUGAGUGAUGAAGGCCUUAGGGUUGUAAAGCUCUUUUACCCGGGAUGAUACUGACAGUACCGGGAGAAUAAGCUCCGGCUAACUCCGU